rnacentral:rRNA from 1 species
GAUGAACGCUGGCGGCGUGCCUAAUACAUGCAAGUCGAGCGAACGGACGAGAAGCUUGCUUCUCUGAUGUUAGCGGCGGACGGGUGAGUAACACGUGGAUAACCUACCUAUAAGACUGGGAUAACUUCGGGAAACCGGAGCUAAUACCGGAUGAUAUUUUGAACCGCAUGGUUCAAAAGUGAAAGACGGUCUUGCUGUCACUUAUAGAUGGAUCUCGGCUGCAUUAGCUGGUUGGGAAGGUAACGGCUUACCAAGGCAACGAUGCAUAGCCGACCGGUUAGGCGGAUAGGCCACCUUGGAACGUGGACAGGGACCUGACUCCUACGGGAGGGAGCAGUAGGGAAUCUUCCGCAGUGGGCGAAAGCCUGACGGAGCAGCGCCGCGUGAGUUAUGAAGGUCUUCGGAUCGUAAAGCUCUGUUAUGAGGGAAGAACAGAUGUGUAAGUAACUGUGCACAUCUUGACGGUACCUAAUCAGAAAGCCACGGCUAACUACGUG